rnacentral:lncRNA from 1 species
AUGGUGCCACAACCCUUUUUUUUUGUUUUUAUUUUUGUUGCACAUGAUUUCAAAUCAAAUGGUGUUUUUAACAUGCUAUUUCUAAGCUCUGCUUGUGACUGGGUCUCCCCUUUAUACAUACAAAUCUUGUGCUGUUUUUCUCCUCUCUCUUUCUCCUUCUCCUCUUCUCCCCAGGUUUUUGUCUUUCUGCCGAUGUUUACUUCAGUCCUUCUUUCACAAAAUCGAAUACUCCAGGUUUUGCUUAACCUCAGAUGACUGGUACAUGGAGAAAGCAAAUUUUGGUAAGAUAAUUAAUCAGCUUCAAGCAAAGCCUGCAUAAGGCCACUUUUAUUCAUUAGCUAGCUGGAUGAGCCAAUGAAGCAUAAAUUGAUUACUUUGACUACAUUAUAUUUUCUACCAGCUCCGGCUCAUUUUCCCUUUAUUUGGUACAUUAAAUAGAAUCAUGAUUUCUAUCAUUUAGGACGGAACACAAUAGAGGAAUAAGAUAUUUUUUUAAUUAAUGGAAUAAUCAAUAGUAACCAAGAGAAAUAGCUAAUAUUUUUGUUCAAAAGCAAGACCAUGACAUUCGGUAAACACAAAAGGAGAGCUUCUUAUGCAUUAAAGGUUAAGGGCUACAUCCAGGAGACAGUCCCACGCAGAACAGGCCUACUGAAUGAAUGUAACAUGUUUGUUGACAUAAUGGGUCUCAUGCAUUUUAACAUUUGGGACUAAUGGGUAAUUUCAGACUAUCAGUUUUAUAGUGCCAUUAGCUCUUGAACAUCAGAACCCAC